rnacentral:rRNA from 1 species
AGUGAACGCUGGCGGUAGGCCUAACACAUGCGAGUCGAACGGCAGCACAGUAAGAGCUUGCUCUUACGGGUGGCGAGUGGCGGACGGGUGAGGAAUACAUCGGAAUCUACUUUUUCGUGGGGGAUAACGUAGGGAAACUUACGCUAAUACCGCAUACGACCUACGGGUGAAAGCAGGGGAUCUUCGGACCUUGCGCGACUGAAUGAGCCGAUGUCGGAUUAGCUAGUUGGCGGGGUAAAGGCCCACCAAGGCGACGAUCCGUAGCUGGUCUGAGAGGAUGAUCAGCCACACUGGAACUGAGACACGGUCCAGACUCCUACGGGAGGCAGCAGUGGGGAAUAUUGGACAAUGGGCGCAAGCCUGAUCCAGCCAUACCGCGUGGGUGAAGAAGGCCUUCGGGUUGUAAAGCCCUUUUGUUGGGAAAGAAAAGCAGCAGGUUAAUACCCCGCUGUUCUGACGGUACCCAAAGAACAAGCACCGGCUAACUUCGUG